AGUGAACGCUGGCGGUAGGCCUAACACAUGCAAGUCGAACGGCAGCACAGUAAGAGCUUGCUCUUACGGGUGGCGAGUGGCGGACGGGUGAGGAAUACAUCGGAAUCUACUUUUUCGUGGGGGAUAACGUAGGGAAACUUACGCUAAUACCUCAUACGACCUACGGGUGAAAGCAGGGGAUCUUCGGACCUUGCGCGAUUGCAUGAGCCGAUGUCGGAUUAGCUAGUUGGCGGGGUAAAGGCCCACCAAGGCGACGAUCCGUAGCUGGUCUGAGAGGAUGAUCAGCCACACUGGAACUGAGACACGGUCCAGACUCCUACGGGAGGCAGCAGUGGGGAAUAUUGGACAAUGGGCGCAAGCCUGAUCCAGCCAUACCGCGUGGGUGAAGAAGGCCUUCGGGUUGUAAAGCCCUUUUGUUGGGAAAGAAAAGCAGCAGGUUAAUACCCCGCUGUUCUGACGGUACCCAAAGAAUAAGCACCGGCUAACUUCGUG
rnacentral:rRNA from 1 species